rnacentral:rRNA from 1 species
GCCAAACCCGGAAGCUGCUCUCUGGCGGCGAGUGGCGGACGGGUGAGUAACGCGUAGGAAUCUACCUUAUAGUGGGGGACAACUCGGGGAAACUCGGGCUAAUACCGCAUAAUCUCUACGGAGCAAAGCAGGGGACCUUCGGGCCUUGCGCUAUUAGAUGAGCCUGCGUCGGAUUAGCUUGUUGGUGGGGUAAAGGCCUACCAAGGCGACGAUCCGUAGCUGGUCUGAGAGGACGAUCAGCCACACUGGGACUGAGACACGGCCCAGACUCCUACGGGAGGCAGCAGUGGGGAAUAUUGGACAAUGGGGGAAACCCUGAUCCAGCAAUGCCGCGUGUGUGAAGAAGGCCUUCGGGUUGUAAAGCACUUUCAGUGGGGAAGAAAGUUCUGAGGAUAAUACCCUUAGGAUUUGACGUUACCCACAGAAGAAGCACUGGCUAACUCUGUGCCAGCAGCCGCGGUAAUACAGGGAGUGCAAGCGUUAAUCGGAAUUACUGGGCGUAAAGCGCACGUAGGUGGGCAUUUAAGUCGAAUGUGAAAGCCCCGGGCUCAACCUGGGAACUGCAUUCGAUACUGGGUGCCUAGAGUAUGGUAGAGGGAAGUGGAAUUUCCGGUGUAGCGGUGAAAUGCGUAGAUAUCGGAAGGAACACC